rnacentral:tmRNA from 1 species
GGGGGCGACAGGUUUCGACGGGGACAGUUGAAACCUCGGGUUGCGCGCCGGGUUGUCCGCGGUCCCGUAAAAAAGCGGAAAAACAAAAGCGCCAACUCUAACGAGUACGCUUUAGCCGCAUAAGCGGCUACGCUCUUCCGGCCUCGCCUGGCAGGGUCGGCCAAGGGCGUCAUUGAUGCCGGGCUGGCCGCAAGGUUCCCGGCCCGUGGAGCCUGGUGGCGAGAAAAAAUGCGGGCUGGCCUUGAAGAAUCCUGUCCGCGGGAGUUUGGCAAGGCGAGAAUAAAACACGGACUACGCGCGUAGGAGCUUGAGGUGGAAGGUUCUCGGACCCGGGUUCGAUUCCCGGCGCCUCCACCA